rnacentral:rRNA from 1 species
GACGAACGCUGGCGGCGUGCUUAACACAUGCAAGUCGAACGGAAGGGCCCGGCGUUUGUGUGGUUCUCGUUUGGGGAAGAGGUGAGAAACACGUGAGUAACCUGCCCUUAUCAUUGGGAGAUCAUCUCGGAAAUGGGGCUAUUACAGCGUAUAAUCUUCUGCACCGUGGGGUGGGUAGGAGAGAGUCGGCGGUGGGGUCUGGACUAGAGGCUUAUCAGCUGGUUGGUGGAGUAGGGGAUGACCAAGGCUGUGACGGGUAGCCGGCCUGAGAGGGUGACCGGCCACAUUGGGCCUGCGAUACGGCGCAGACUCCUACGGGACGCAGUGGUCGGGAACAUUGCACAAUGGGCGGAAGCCUGAUGCAGCAACGCCGCGUGCGGGAUGACGGCCUUCGGGUGGUAAACAGCUUUCGCCUGUGCCGAAGCGUGAGUGACGGUAAUGGGUAAAGAAGCACCGGCUAACUACGUG